rnacentral:tRNA from 1 species
GUCCCUGUAGCUCAGACGGAUAGAGCAACAGAUUUCUAAUCUGUAGGCCACAGGUUCGAAUCCUGUCAGGGACG